GCAGAGUAGCUGAGGCGCGUUAAGUGUUGCGAAACGGGACGUUGUUCGCAAACGAAAGGGGUUUCCCUGCGGUGCCGAAGCGCGUCCGUUG
rnacentral:ncRNA from 1 species